rnacentral:rRNA from 1 species
GUGCCAGCAGCCGCGGUAAUACUGGCAGUCCGAGUGAUGACCGAUCUUAUUGGGCCUAAAGCGUCCGUAGCUGGCUGCGCAAGUCCGUCGGGAAAUCCACUCGCCCAACGAGUGGGCGUCCGACGGAAACUGCACAGCUUGGGACCGGAAGGCUCGAAGGGUACGUUCGGGGUAGGAGUGAAAUCCCAUAAUCCCGCACGGACCACCGAUGGCGAAAGCACUUCGAGAAAACGGAUCCGACAGUGAGGGACGAAAGCUAGGGUCUCGAACCGGAUUAGAAACCCCAGUAGUCC